rnacentral:tRNA from 1 species
UCUCUGGUGGUCCAGUGGCUAAGACUCUGCAAUCCCAAUGCAGGGGCCCCAGUUCAAUCCCUGGUCAGGGAA